rnacentral:rRNA from 1 species
CUAGGGUGAUCCUGACACUGAGGUACGAAAGCUAGGGGAGUGAACGGGAUUAGAUCCCUCAUAGUCCAGCUGUAAUCGAUGCGCAUUAGAUGUCAUUCAGUUUCAGCGGGAGUGAGGAAAUAUUCGCCAUAAGUGAUCAGCCUUUGGAUUGCGGUCGCAAGUAUGAAAUUCAAAGGAAUUGACGGGGGCUCGCACAAGCGGUGGAGCAUGUGAUUUAAUUCGACGCAACGAGAAGAACCUUACCUGGGCUGGAUUUGCUGGGUUUAGCUUCCAGAAAGGGAAGCUAACCUGCUUGCAGGAGACCAGCAGAGGUGAUGCAAGGCUGUAGUCAGCUGGUGUUGUGAGAUGUUGGGGUAAGUCCCGCAACGAGUGCAACCCUUGCCUUUAGUUUCCAGAGAGUCAUGUCGGGUACUAUUAGGGGCCUUCCACGGAUAACGGGGAGGAAGGUGGGGAUGACGUCAAGUCAGCAUGGCCGUUAUGUCCAGGGCGCCACACUUGCUACAAAGGGCGGCACAAAGGGACGCGAACCCCCAAGGUGGAGCUAAUCUUCAAAGCUGCUCUCAGUUCGGAUCGCAGGUUGCAAUUUGCCUGGGGGAAGUUGGAAUCGCUAGUAAUCGCGGAUCAGCCUCGCCGCGGUGAAUACGUUCUCGGGCUUUGUACACACCGCCCGUCACAUCUAGAAAUUUGGUUAUACCCGCAGUCGCCGGUUUAUCCCUUGGAGUCAGGCGCCGAAGCACUCCGCCAGCGUGCGGUGAAGUCCUAACAAGGUAACCAAGGGCGAA